CCCCCGCUGUCGCCUGCCUGUGGGGAGAGCAGCUCCCGGUCUAGGGCCACGCUCUUGCCCGGAGCUAGCACUCGGUGUGCAUAGCGGGCCCCCGUCGUCUUCCAGAAGGAAAGCCCAGAGGUGCCCCCAACAGCGAGGCCUGGUAGUUGCGUUGCACACGAGGAGAGGAGAGCCGGUGUCCCAGGUCGGCAGCUGGAGGCCUUGGCCGUGAAGCGGGCUCGUGUCCGUGGACGAUGCGCCUUUCCGAGCCGUCAUCUGCUCGUGCCCAGCACACGUGGCCGUCUCCUGUCCGGAGGUCUGAGGACUGUCCCUAGGCUUGGGAAGGCCGGCCCUCGAGAUGGCUGUCUGGAAGGCCGUUGUGUUUCUUUGAUCAGGCGUAAUUAAAGCGAGGUCCUGUCCGGA